GGCGGGCUCCGCCGCGGCCCCCGCUCCCUCACAUGGCGGAGGGAACCACGGCACGCCGCCCCGCUCCGGGCCCCGCAGCGGGAGGGAGGAGCGCGGGUGGCGGUGCGGAAACUUCGUCGGGGUGAGGGCGCCGGGCGCCGUGCGAAGCCGGAGGGGACCGCGGGUGGCGGCGGGGCCGGCGGGUUCAGCCUGGCCAAGGCUGUCUGCAUCGAUCGGCUCCGCUUUGGUUAGCGCGCUCCUUUAGCCCCCACUUAGCAGCGAGCCGGUGCGUGGUACGCGAGUUGGAAAACGUAUUUGUGCUUUCGGAUGGCUGACAGGUGCUUCUGUGCUGAAAUACCUUGGCGUUUUUCUGUUACACACAAAGUGGGCAAAGCAGGCGGCUUUAGCAGCGAUGGCUGAAGAGCACGUAGUCAGAGUGGCGGGACAGAAAGGCAGAAGAAAAACCCGAGGGAGAUCUUUGCGUGUGGUGCUUUCCGUCUGCAACUGCGCAGGGGCUGGGAGCCCAGUAAGGUUACUUACACGUUUGCUUAUUUGUUUAAUGCUAACCUGCGUUAGAUGCUAUCCCAGAAUAAUCUGCAGUGGGUUUUGCCUUGCAGAUUUCCCGGUGCAGUCCCAGCUGCACCAGCCCCAGUGCUGCGAUGGAUCUUCAGCAGCCCACUGUGCUCAGCUCAAGGCUGGGCUGCGUUGCCCAAAGCACUUCAAAGUUCUAGACUAGCCUAUGCAGGGUCUACCUACCCUCAAGCUGAUUGACGCUUCCUCUCAACUUGGUGUCACCUGCAAACAUACUGAGGAUUUUCCCCAGUGUCCCCUGUCUUCAGUGAGAUGAGAGAGAAAAGAAGAAGCACCUCUGUGAACCUGUGGAGUUUCUGUAUUCAGGAAACCCCGUGCAAUAUUCAGCUGUCAAAGGCUACAGAGCGCACACUGCUCCAGUUCUUCCUUUCUUCCUUGCUCUCAUGUCUCCAGCUGACUGCAGGUGGCUCAGCACCACAGUCAUUUGCUCACUUUUUACAACGAUGGAUAUGUAUGCUUGUAUCUGAAGUAAGCAUUUUAAAGAGAUAUUUUUCUCAUUCAAACAGUUGUGUUGACAUUAAUUGUGUACAGUAAGGCUAGCUAAUGUACAGUUGGCAAUUAUAAUCUUGUCUCUGAAGACAAGCCCUUAAAAAUAAAGAACCGGUAUCUUACGCAGCUUUUGUAUCAUCAAACAUGCUUGGUAUUACAGUGGAAGUUUUUCUUCUUUUUUUCCUUUUCAUGUUCAUUCAAUAAAUGAAUAUUGCAAAAUCAGAUAUUAAAAAAUAAAGGGAUUCAUAGUAAUGUGUGAAAAAGCCUGCAUUUCUCUCCAUGGUUUAUAGAAUUAGAAUAUAACCCCCCGACAGCUGAUCCUGUAAUAUAAUGGUUUUCAGACUCAGAGAACAGUCAUGCCUCCAAAACUCUCUGAGUAUACACCCCUAGAUAGAGAAGUUUUAGUGAGAUAUUUCCAAGAAUACGUAUUCAAACUUUUCCUAUUCUUUGCCCUUCCUUUGUUUUACUGUUACCUUGCAGUUUGUAGCAAAUGAAAUUUUUGCAAUGACACAUAGUAGGUAUAAAUAAUGCAUUAUUCUGUUGCCCUCUUUACUUUUGAACCUGUUGGCCAGGCUCAACCAAGCUUGGCAAAGAAACUGAGUCCUUGAAGCUUCACAAAAAUAGGUGGCUUGGUAGAGAAUAGCAGCAUUGUACUGGCUGUCCCUGAAGAUGUGCUCUGACCUCGUCCCUUACUGCACACCAGCAGCUCUGAAUGAGACAGCACCUGCUUUAAUACCCAUUUCACAAUUGACACAAUCAGAGCUUACACACUCAUGAACACUGGAACUAACUGAUUUAAAGGCAUCAAUCUGUAAGAAAAUGCUGCUAAUUCUGAUGUUCAACCCCUCUGCUUUCCUUUCAUUACCCUUCUGUACAUUGUUACAGAAUUAUCCCUUAACAAAUCCUUCUGAUAAAGUACUGGGUCAGCAAUGGAUUAUUUUGUUUUUCAUUUUUUUUAAAUUAAAGGCUUUUAAAUUAAUUCAUAUAUGUUUGAUAAUAUCAUGGUUUAAAAAACUGGAGAAAUUACAAUUUGCGGCAUAUUGAAAGUUUCAUGAAUUGCACAUUCCCAAGUGUUCUGUCUUUAGAUCUAAUUACUGGAGAUGAUUACAUUCAGGAAGUUCUGCAAUCACAGAGGGUGGUGAUACAGUUUUCUGUCUGCCUUUAAUGAAAAAAGUUAUAUAGCUCAGAAAUUAUGAUUUAGAUUAUGAGCUGUCAGAGCUGACCAAAAAAAAAAAAAAGAAAAAAAGCAAGAUUGUGCAGUGUUUGAGUUAAUACUUGAGUUGUGAAACAGACAGAUGAAAUAAUUGUUUUUUCUUUUGGUACAUGUAGGGUCUAGAGACCCCAAAUAAACUGGGCCCCCAACACGUAGGCACUGCGCAAACACUUAAUGAAUUACUGCGUAUCCCUAGAAUUGGACAUCUAGUGACUGGGAAAGAAGGGAAGGGAAAGCAGCAAUGAGUGGCCUGAAGUCUUACAGUGAGCAGGUCAGCAACUGAGCUGAGAAGAUAACUCAAAGCUCCUGGUUCUCUCUCUUCUUCCAUUAAGUACUUGUUUGCUAGUCUACAUUGCCUUUGUUCCUCAGUAAGAUACUAAGUCCACAGCUGAACAGCUGAUACAGUAGAUUCCUUUUAUGGGUACAAAACUGCAGGUGUUCAUUCAUGCAGAAACUUUGCACCUUGCUUAGUUGUCCUUGUCAUAUUUGAUGUCAUUAGAACAUGUACAGUAAACAAGGUGCUAAUGGUACCAGGUUGAACAUGAAAUAAACAGAUGUGUUAUGUCAUUUUGAUAAUAAAUGCAAGUUGGUCAUGCUGGCUUUGUUGGAAGAAGGUAACAGGAAACAAUGCAAUUUAUCUGGCUAUCGAUAGUAAUGCUUGAGAGUUGUUUCAGACUGCUCAGACUUCUUGUAUUAGGUUUCUACAAGAUAAAUAAAGAAGGAGACAAUUUAGGUUCUGGCAAAAUCUCCCCUGUGGUGCUGGUGACCAGUAGAUCAGGGAUUGAACAUUCCAUGCAGAACAAGAUCACUCCCUCCCCUGUGUGGGAAUACAAGAAAAACUAUUCAGAGCAGCAGCUGUGGAGCAAGAUGAACAGCACCCCUGCCUGAGCAUAUUUAAUCCCAUGGUUCUACCUUCCCAUUAAAAUAACCUAACCACUAUCCUACCAGUGAUUAAUUUGUUUCUGUUUGAUACACAUAACACAUUUUGCUGGAGAAGGAACUAUCACUUCAGUUGAAUCAGAACAUCUCCAGUGGGAAGAACUAAGCAAACCACACCUCACGCAACCCUACAGCUCAAUUCAGAGCUUAGAAACAAAUAGGAUUUAAGCCAUGUUUUCUUCUAAUAGCUCUGUCAAACCUAACCCUAACUAGAAAGUAUUCCAUAAACACAAAUUUUCACAUGAACGGGGCCUUGUGCUCUACGAUUUCAGUCCCUACUUCUGCAAGCAUAUUUAACUUGUUUUCAGAAUGACUAUUGCAGACCAAGAACUGCCAAAAGCUCUAGCAAAAAAAGUAAAAAGUCAAGUCUCGCUUUAGGGGUAAAAUGGUUGUUGAAGACUUUUAAGGAUAUUAAACUGGAUAGGCCGUGUAUUGGUUUGGCUGAGCCAACCAGUCCUAACAGGGCUAUCUUCACAGGUCAUUAAACUCUUACCUUCUAAGGUUUUCAAAAUAUAAUCUUCCUUUCCCCAUUAGUAAAAUUAAAUGAGGUUUUAGCAAAAUUACUGACUCCUCAAGCAGAUUCAGACUGCUGAACAAAUGCAGUAAUUUCAUAAAUAGCUGUACCUCGGAGUCUUCCUAAGAACAGCAGCAGUGGAGGAAAAGAACAGUCAGAUCAAUUCAUCUGGUGGCUGUAAGGCUCAGGAAGCCUUUCCACAGUCCAUGCUAGCCAAGCAAGUAGCUAUGACAGCAGGGAGCCAGUUUGUCAAAGGACCUCAGCCUACUGGGCACCAAACUGCUCUGAAAAACAACGGCAGUUAGUGUCACAGCGGAGACAUGAACAUUCAGGACUUUGGAAAAUGUAGCCCUUACCAUACCCUAAAAGCACUGCCUAGCUCUUUUCCUUGCUUCCUAGCCACAGUUCUGUCCCCAUCCCUAUUUUCUGCAAAAUAGCAGUCAGCUGUGGAAGCAAUCUAGGUGUUGACAUUUGAAAUGAGCUUUUUUUUCUGCUAGCUGUUUGAUUUCUGAAACUUAAGUAAUUAGAGUUCUUUUUCCUCAUGUCAUUUUUUUGCCUUUUUAUUACAAGACUGAACUAUGCUUAAAUUCCUUUCUCAUGACAGAUUCAAGAACAGAUCUUUAUUUGCACGUACACAAUUUUCAUGGAUUACUGGGAUGAAUCCUAGAGCUUUCAUACAAUAAAAUUGGUUUUGUUUCAUGUUGCUAACUUCUACAUAAGAAUCAGUCAAAGAAUUAGGAACCGGUUAUUCCCUAUAGCUAAAGCUACCAUAGCAUUCUCUCUUUUAUGGCUGAUAUCCUGUUGGGGUUUCAUUUUCCCCUGUAUAUGUUGGAAAUCAAUCAAUUCCAAUCGCUUUUUUCUUUCUUUCUUUCCUUCUUUCUUUCUUUAAAAUUAAGGAGACUAACAUUUUAUAUGAGUUGUAGCCGCAGUGUUAGAUGUCUUACUUUCACUCCAUCAAACACUAGCUGAGGCCUUUAGAGAGAUCCUCACAUGCAACCUGCAACCACCCUAAGCAGUCACAUUUCUCUCUGUAAAUUAAAUUUCUUUUAAAAGUCUCAUUUUGUCCUCAGGCUGAAUUUCUGUUCCAGUAAAUUCUGAUCUGCAGAGGUAUCUACUUCCCAUUGAAAUUGAUCAGAGCUGUUGGUGACCAGAGCCUCUAUAGCUCAGGCCCUCUGGUUGCAUUUAUCUCGGAGUACAAAUGUUGUUAAUAUUAUGGCUAUCUUUGGGUAAAAGCCUAGCGAAAAACACUUCUGUGCUUUUCAAAGAAGCGACAUGGCUGAUUAUGGCACAGUCUCCCAAUGCUCUUUCUCAAAGACUUUUGCCUGGAGUUUAAUUUUUUAUUCCUAGUAAAGCAUGUAAGUAAGGAAUAAGAAUAUGUAUAAGAAUAGACUCUCAGAAGUUUUGUACUUUUUCAAUUAAACAGAACUGAAUGAGAUAAAGGAAGAAAACGAAGCACUUUCUCCAGCGCUUUUUUUCCCCCUCAGUUGGGAUUAAUUUUUCUUUAGAAAAAUGGAGAAGUUUGUACGUGCUUUUGGAAGAAGAAAAUAUCAAGUGCACCUGAGGUUUUAAACAAACAGUUGCUGCUGUUUAACAAACCCAUGGUGAAUCAUAGAAGAAAAUCCCUGGAGCAGAGGCAGAACUCCAGUAGUAGUUCACUGGGUCUGUGCCUAGGCUCUCACUUUGGUACUAAGGGGAUUUCUCUGACAGGUUGAUUCAGGCUUUUGAUAGAAGCAAGAUUUAAUGAGAAUACAUUCACUGAUUCCUUUGCUGCCUUAGUGGUUGGUUUCCAGGUUUGGUGUUAAAUGUUGCUCUUCAGAGUCUGCAUUGCACAUACCACAACUGUAACUUAAUUUCUCCUUCCCGCCAUUGCACAUACCACAACUGUAACUUAAUUUCUCCUUCCCGCUGUGAUGCCAAGACUGCAUAAGAGAAAGCUACUUUGUUUUGAGGUGUACCCGGCAUAUUAUUGUGCCAGGAGUAGGGUUCAAAUUAAAAAUAACGUUUUGCCCUCAUGCUUUACACUGUACUGAGUUUAUGUGGCGAGGGUUUGACAGCGGGGUGCUGCGGGGGCGGCCUCUCUGCUCGCAGAGCCCCCCACUGCCCCAUGUCAGACCGACGCAGCUCCAGCUGCUCCUCACGGGACCUGCCGCUGCCACAGCUGCGCCGUGAGCGAUGCUCUCGCUGUUUGUGCCUCGGGGAGAGCGGAGCGAAGGAAGGGAAUCGCGGUGGAUGCGGCCUGAACGAGGCACAGCCCCAGGAGCGGCCCGGGCCAGAGCUGCAGCCCGUUGGAAGCACACGCAGAUCAUCUCGGGAAGGGCACUGUGGGAGGGAACCCCGUGGAGCUGGGAAAUGAUGGAAGGUGAGGAUGAGUGUCAUGGACUGAGCGCAGCUGCUCAGGGAGAGGAGACUGAAGAAGGUGGAUGUGGGAAGGUGUUUUUGGCCCGCUUUUACUUCUCACUGCUCUCUACUGUUAUCAGCAGACAAUAAACUCCAUUAAUAUUCCCUAA